ACAUCAUCCAGAGAGGUGGAGGGACCGGCCCGUAGAAACCUCGGCAACCGCUGUUUGCAGGUGCCAAUUCCGGCAGAGACUACCUCCCGGUAGGGUAUCUGAAAGAUGAAUG
rnacentral:ncRNA from 1 species